UGUCUGCACAGAGCCUGAUGCUCCAACUCACAGACUGCGAGAUCAUGACUUGAGUCAAAGUUGGAUGCUUAACCGACUGAGCCACCCAGGUGCCCCUCAAGGCCUCAUGUCUUAUCCCCACUCUACUUCACAGCCAACUAACUAAUCUGUACAUGUCUGUGUCUAGCCCUCCCUAUGACUCUGUCUGCUAUCUGUUGUAUGUUUUCUCCCCUAGGUCUUGAAAAGGAAAUAAUCUCUCCUUCCAACACCUAUAAUGGCUGAUCCAAAUGAUACUCAGCACUUCCUUAGGGAGGUUUCAGGGUUUUUGGCAGACAAGAAAGAAGGUCAACACAACAUACUGAAGAACACUGGAUUAGGAGUAAGCAGAGUGGUUCAUGGAGCUCUUUUGCCACAGGAAGGCCAUUUAACCAUCUGGGGUCUUGGCUGCCCAUACUCUUGGCCAUCAGACCCAGUGGUUCCCACUCAGCUCCCCCUAGCAUGCCUGAUCUGGACUCCAGUUCAACAGAUGGCAGUGACCUUUUAACUCUCCUGCCCUGGUGCUGACCACAGUGGCACUGCAGUGAUGGCCUCUGCAGUACUGGGUAUGGUAUCUGCAGCAUUACCCGAAUAUCUUGUUGCACUUUGUCCUUAUUGUUUAACAAAUGUGGAUGGUAGAUAGCAAUAAGAAAUCCUGAUACUUGUGAUAACAGGUCCCACACGCCAUUGCCUUUUUGUCAGUUGAGACAUGCGUGGAAAUCACUAGUACACUAAAUCCUUAGCCAAACCA